CGGAGGAAAAGAAACUAACAAGGAUUCCCUUAGUAACGGCGAGUGAACCGGGAAGAGCUCAAAUUUGUAAUCUGGCUGUCUUCGAUAGUCCGAGUUGUAAUCUAUAGACGUGUUUUCCGUGCUGGACCGUAUCUAAGUCCCUUGGAACAGGGUAUCAAAGAGGGUGAUAAUCCCGUGCUUGAUACGACCACCAGUGCUCUGUGAUACACGCUCUACGAGUCGAGUUGUUUGGGAAUGCAGCUCAAAAUGGGUGGUAAAUUCCAUCUAAAGCUAAAUAUUGGCGAGAGACCGAUAGCGAACAAGUACCGUGAGGGAAAGAUGAAAAGCACUUUGGAAAGAGAGUUAAACAGUACGUGAAAUUGUUGAAAGGGAAACGAUUGAAGUCAGUCGUGUUCUUCAGAUUCAGCUGGUUCUUCCAGUCUACUUCUGUUGAACGGGUCAACAUCAGUUUUGUCCGGUGGAUAAAGGUAGUAGGAAUGUGACUCCUCCGGGAGUGUUAUAGCCUAUUAUUGCAUACACUGGGUGAGACUGAGGACUGCAGCUCGCCUUUUGGCCGGUCUUCGGACACGUUCGAGCUUAGGAUGUUGACAUAAUGGCUUUAAACGACCCG
rnacentral:rRNA from 1 species